rnacentral:rRNA from 1 species
UACGUAGGGGGCAAGCGUUAUCCGGAUUUACUGGGUGUAAAGGGGGCGCAGACGGCGAUGCAAGCCAGGAGUGAAAGCCCGGGGCCCAACCCCGGGACUGCUCUUGGAACUGCGUGGCUGGAGUGCAGGAGGGGCAGGCGGAAUUCCUGGUGUAGCGGUGAAAUGCGUAGAUAUCAGGGGGAACACCGGUGGCGAAGGCGGCCUGCUGGACUGCAACUGACGUUGAGGCCCGAAAGCGUGGGGAGCAGACAGG